rnacentral:lncRNA from 1 species
GCCAAACAAAAAAGGUUUUUUCAGCAUUAUCUGUUUAAAUUUUUCAACAUAUUUAUAAGCCAUUUGUUUUUCUUUUUUAAUUUUCUGUUCAAGUUCUUUACCCAUUUUAAACAUUUUUUGAUAUAUAUCUUUUUUCCAUUAAUUGAUAAGAAUUGUUUAAACAGGAAAAAUCAACAUUUUGUCACAUAUGCUACAAAUAUUUUUCAUGUGACUGAAGACUUUAAUUAUUUUACAAGUAUUAGGGGAAAUAAAGCAAGACAGAGACUUCCCUGAAUAACUCACACAUAUGCUUCAAAAGAAAGCCAGUGUUUUUGUUGCCAAUCAGUGUUGGCCUGAGGAGUAGCAGCAACCAAGGUGGGAAGUCCAUUUGUACAUGAGCUAACCUGCCAUCUUUUCUAUCAAAUCCAACCACAGACAAGGCAAGAACUUCGAGAGGUGAGAGGAAAUAAAAGAAAUGGUUUCACCCCUUGCUCUGAGGUGCUGGUGGGAAGAGAAUGUGAAGCCUCCUGCAGGAACAUGGAAGAUGGGUCCUGCGACAAGGAGGGAGAAAGGAACACAGAUGGGAAAAAAUUGAUCCUAACUGGAAGCUAUAUGGCUGCCAUGAAAAUUAAAUCCUGGUGAGUUUCUCAAUAUGUGAACUAUUGUACUCUUACAGAGAAAUCUAGGCACAGGCUAGGACUGAGAUUCAGGACAGAAAAAAUGACCCAUAAUAGUUUAAAACCAUGAAACAGACAGUGAUGGAUAAUUCAUCUAAUAAUCCAAUUCGCCAAGUGUUACAUACUUAAGUUCUAAGUAAAGGAACCACUGAACUAGAAUGGCAGUUAGAGGAAAUCCAAAAUUCUGAAAGUAGUAGGGGCCAAAAGGAAUUAAGGUCACCUGUCAAAAGGAAUGAUACUAAGAGUAAUGCUAGGAAUCUAGACUCACAUGAAUCCAGUGAUCACAAAACACAUCCUACUGGUAACAGAGAAAUACACCUAAAGAAUAAAUGUGGUCGGUUCUAUAAAAAUGCA